CUUCACCGAGCCCAGCCACAGCGGGUCGACGCGGUCCUGCCCGUACACGGUCAGCAACGCCUGGGCUUC
rnacentral:antisense_RNA from 1 species